rnacentral:snRNA from 1 species
CUGCUUGCUUUGGUGCAUGUAUACUAAAACUGGAACAAUACGGAGAAGAUUAACAUGACCCUUGCACGAGAAUGACAUGCAAAUUCAUGAAGUUUUUGAUAUUUUU